UACGUAGGUGGCAAGCGUUGUCCGGAAUUAUUGGGCGUAAAGCGCGCGCAGGCGGUCCUUUAAGUCUGAUGUGAAAGCCCACGGCUCAACCGUGGAGGGUCAUUGGAAACUGGGGGACUUGAGUGCAGAAGAGGAAAGCGGAAUUCCACGUGUAGCGGUGAAAUGCGUAGAGAUGUGGAGGAACACCAGUGGCGAAGGCGGCUUUCUGGUCUGUAACUGACGCUGAGGCGCGAAAAGCGUGGGGAGCAAACAGGG
rnacentral:rRNA from 1 species